UCCUCCUCUUCCUCCUCCUCCCAGGCCCAUCGUCUAUAUUGUAUGCCCCUUUCAGAGGGCAUUCUAGGGUAGUUCCCACCCCUCCAGCCAGGGGAAGCCAGGGUGACCAUCUCCACCUCCUCUGAGCCCUUGGCUUCCCUUCUGCCUCCCUGUAGCACCAGCACCCCAGAUUCUGUAUGGCUGAGUUCUUCUCUCCCUGAUACUCAUCAGGUGCUUAAAGGUAAGCUCUCCCCUGACUGGCCAUAGCUGGAGCAGAGCAGAUGUUUACAUCUUUGCCCGAUGAAUGAAAGCACUCCAUUCACACUGCUUAUACCCACAGUCCCUUAGAAAAUUCAAACCACAUGGACAGGACAGAGAGCCCGUGAUCAUGUCCGGGGAUAAGCUUUCUGGGAAAUGGACCUAAAUUCCCCCAGCAGAGGGAUUUAGCAAUCACUCAGGACAACUCUUGUGCUAGCCAGCUUCUUGUUGACUUGGGCAAUUUACAGAAAUUACGGCUGUCUAUUUCCCGGGUCAGUGGUUCUCAGCCUGCAUUAGACCAGCUACCCCCAGAGAGUAUUUUUUUAAAAAAUAACUCUUCCCAGGCUGUGUCUCAGUCUUAUUCCAUCAGAACCUCUCGGGGUGGGGCUGCUGCUGCUGCUGCUGCUGCUGCUAAGUCGCUUCAGUCAUGUCCAACUCUGUGCGAUCCCAUAGAUGGCAGCCCACCAGGCUCCCCCGUCCCUAGGAUUUUCCAGGCAAGAAUGCUGGAGUGGGUUGUCAUUUCCUUCUCCAAUGCAUGAAAGUGAAAAGUGAAAGUGAAAUCGCUCAGUCAUGCCUGACUCUUAGCGACCCCAUGGACUGCAGCCCACCAGGCUCCUCCGUCCAUGGGAUUUUCCAGGCAAGAGUACUGGAGUGGGGUGCCAUUGCCUUCUCUGGGGGUGGGGCUGAGGCACCGAUAUUUCUUAAGGCUCCCAGGUGAUUCCAACAGGAAAUCAAGACGGACAAACACUGACCUACAUCAUAGAGGGUGAUGUUUCUUCUAUCUGUAUGUAGCUGAGUGGGUCCCCUAAUGCAGCCACACCAUUUUCUACACUGACUGGGCAGACAGGGUCCAGGCAGAGGAAGAGAGUCCAGCUCCAGGGACUUAUUCACACCCAGAAGUUUUCCCUAGAACAACAGUUUAUGAUCCAGAUAUCAGUUCCAGACUAAAGGAAGUGUCUGUCUCCACCACCCCUCCUCCACCCCACCCCAGCAUUUUUCACUUUCCUAUGAACCUAGUUUCUAUCCACCAUGUCCCCAUUACCUAAAUUUCUUCAGUAUUAUAACGGGGGGUGGGGGGGCGGGGAGCGGAAUCUUAAAACUCUGAUCUUGCAGUUAAGUAAAUCUCAGAAUUUGAGGUUGAUGAGAAAUAUUUAAGCCUGGUGAGUGAUGUGGGGUGCGAUUUCCCACAUCAUUACAAGAGCAAAAAUGUAACCUCUCCUCCCUAUGAGUCAGCUCAGUAACCCACUGUGUUCAUCUAGAGAAGCGCUUAAACCUUGAGAGAAAUGUAUUCAAAAGAGGUUGUCACGGCAAGUAUCACAUAAGAUUUUUUUAAAUCAACAAGUCAAAUAGAUACCCAUUCCAUCACCUCUGACAAGAAUCAUACAUUUUCUCUCCAGGAAGGAAAUGCUGUCAUUUUUUGUACAUCAUUUUACAGUUUAUUACGUUGCUUGUUUUCCAGCUUAAUCAAAAUACGAUUUACGUAUUACAUUUGUGUAAGUUUAGGACUGUACAAUGUGUUGAUACAUUUUAAUACUGACAAAUAUCACCACCAUACUGUCAGCUAAUACCUCCCCUCAUCAUAUAAUUACCACUUCUUUUUUUUUUGUAGGUGGGAACCUUCAAAGUUUACUCUCUUAGCAAUUUUUAAGUAUACAAUACAUUAGCCAGAAUCUGCAUGCUGUCCAUUUGUUGGUGGUCAGUGGCUAAGUCGUUUCUAACUCUCUGAGACCCCAUGGACUGCAGCAUGCCGUGCUUCCCUGUCCUCCACUGUUUUCCAGAGUUUGCUCAUCUUAUCCUUUGUCACCCCCUUCUCCUCCUGCCUGCAAUCCUUCCCAACAUCACGGUCUUUUCCAAUGCUGCAUAUUGGAUCCCCAAAUGUGUUUCUUUUUUAAAGAUUUUUUUUUUUUUUUUUGAUGUGGAGCCCUUUUUAAGAGUCUUUACUGAAUUUGUUACAAUAUUACUUCUGUUUCAUGUUUUGGUAUUUUGGCCCCAAGGCAUGUGGGAUCUUAGCUUCCCAACUGGAGAUCAAACCCACACCCCCUGCAUUGGAAGGCAAAAUCUUAACCACUGGGCCACCAGGGACAUUCCCCAGACUUAUUCAUCUUAUAACUAGAAGUUUGUACCUUUUGACCAACAUCUCCACAGUUUCCUUACUCCCCAGCCCCUGGCAGUACCACUCUACUGUUUCUCUGAGUUUAGCCUUUUUGGAUUCCACAUGCAAGUGAUAUCAUACAGUAUUUGUCUUUCUGUCUGGCUUAUCUCAUUUAGCUUAACGUCCUCAAGCUAUGUUCUUGCCAAAGACAGGAUUUCCUUUCUCAUGGCUGAAUAAUAUUGUAUGUCCAGUAUAUACCACACCUUCUUUAUCCAUUCAUCUACUGACAAACAAAUAGUUUCCAUGUCAUGGCUAUUAUGAAUAAUGCUGCAAUGGACAUGGGAACAUAGGUAUCCCUUUGAGAUAUCAGUUUCAUUUCCUUUGGAUAUAUACCCAGAAGUGGAAUUGCUGGAUCAUAUGCUAGUUCAAUUUUUAACUUUUUGAGGAAUCUCCAUACUGUUUUCCAAAGUGGAUGCACCCAUUUACCUUCCAACCAACAGUGCACAAGUGUUCCUUUUUCUCUACAUACUCAUUAACAUUUGUCCUCUAUCAUCUUAUCGGUGUACAGAUUAUUCAUUAACAGAGAGAUGGUAUGAUCUGUGAAACCAGGUUUCUCUCACCUAUUUCAGGCAGGGGAUGUUUAAACCUUCCAGAGAAAUAUCUAUUGAGUUCCUACUAUGGUUGAACUUUUACUUUAUUGCAUGUAUGGUAUUGAUUUCAGCUUAAAAAUUAUCAGCAGGUCAUUUCAGAGGCUAGAAAAUAACCCUGCACAUAAUGCCUUUUUAAAACUCUCAUCAGAAAUGGUAGACGGGAGCCUUAAUUAUAUUUCUCAUGUGAACAAACUCUGACAGCUUCAGCACUUCUACAAAUAGGAGUUCAAAUACAUUGCAAAAAGAGCCGCUCACUGACUAGAACUUAGCCUCUUGGAGUCUCAUCAUCAUGUCAGCACAAUGAAGCGUGAAGCUCAACUGGGAGCCCGGCUGAGGAUGCUGCCGUUCAUCUGCCAUCAUCAGGAGGUGGCAGCGCCUGUCCCUGCCGGUCCUGAGCCCCAUCUCCCUUUGGACACAUUGAUAAUAGUAAAGCCUGUGUACAGAGCACAGGAGAUGUCUGUAAAGCACCCAGAUGUUGCCAGGAGCGGCAGGAUGAUGGCUGAUCCUGGCUCAUUCAGGAGCUGGAGGCUCUGUUGGCCCCUCCAGGACAGGAUGACAAAAAAUCAGCCCAGAGCAAAGAGAUCAAAGGGCCAGCGAGUGAGAGCCAGGUAAUAAAAGGUCUGAGAAAAGUUGUCCCAGAUUUCCCGUCAAGUCUGCCCUCUCACUAAGUCCAGGAAUGAAAUGAGGGAAACCACAACAAACUUUGGAGUCAUAUUCAUGGUUGUGGAAUGUGUUGGCUCUGUGACCACGGUGGAAUAUGUUGUUGGCAUAACUGACAGAGUGAAAAGACAGCCUUCGGAAUGGGAGAAAAUAAUAGCAAGAAGCAACUGACAAACAACUAAUCUCAAAAAUAUACAAGCAACUCCUGCAGCUCAACUCCAGAAAAAUAAACGACCCAUCACAAAAUGUGCCAAAGGACUAAAUAGAUAUUUCUUCAAAGACAUACAGAUGGCUAACAAACACAUGAAAAGAUGCUCAACAUCACUCAUUAUCAGAGAAAUGCAAAUCAAAACCACAAUGAGGGACCAUUUCACGCCAGUCAGAAUGGCUGCGAUCCAAAAGUCUACAAGCAGUAAAUGCUAGAGAGGGUGUGGAGAAAAGGGAACCCUCUUACACUGUUGGUGGGAAUGCAAACUAGUACAGCCACUAUGGAGAACAGUGUGGAGAUUCCUUAAAAAACUGGAAAUAAAACUGCCUUAUGACCCAGCAAUCCCACUGCUGGGCAUACACACCAAGGAAACCAGAAGGGAAAGAGACACAUGUACCCCAAUGUCCAUCGCAGCACUGUUUAUAAUACCAGGACAUGGAAGCAACCUAGAUGUCCAUCAGCAGACAAAUGGAUAAGAAAGCUAUGGUACAUAUACACAAUGGAGUAUUACUCAGCCAUUAAAAAGAAUACAUUUGAAUCAGGUCUAAUGAGGUGGAUGAAACUGGAGCCUAUUAUACAGAGUGAAGUAAGCCAGAAGGAAAAACAUAAAUACAGUAUUCUAACGCAUAUAUAUGGAAUUUAGAAAGAUGGUAACAAUAACCCUGUGUACGAGACAGCAAAAGAGACACUGAUGUAUAGAACAGUCUUAUGGA
ensembl:lncRNA